UUGCUAGUAAUCGCGGAUCAGCAUGCCGCGGUGAAUACGUUCCCGGGCCUUGUACACACCGCCCGUCACACCAUGGGAGCCGGUAAUACCCGAAGUCAGUAGUCCAACCUCGUGAGGACGCUGCCGAAGGUAGGAUUGGCGACUGGGGUGAAGUCGUAACAAGGUACC
rnacentral:rRNA from 1 species